GCAGUGGGCAGAGACCACCUCCCUCAUUGCCGCUUUGGGUUUGGACCGCUUUAAACAGUAAAGUGACUGUCGACGGCUCAGUCUACAGGGAGGAGAACAAAAGACAGGGUCAGGGCUGGGCAGACUGGACAGGGUAAGAUUCUGGCUCCCCUCACUUGCUAGUUGGAGGAGUGGGGAGGCGAGUUAUUAGUGCCUUUGGGCCCUGACCUUAUAGCCCUUCGUAGGGUGGUGUGCGAAUGUCCAGUGUCCAGUGCUGAAUGCUGAGGGACCCAGUAAGAGGAGGUGGCUAGAACUGGAGGGACAGUUUCCCAGAAGCCUGGGCUUUGGGAUAGCAGCUGGGGAGAGCAGAGUCACGCUAGGCUCUUGUCUAGUGACUGGAGCUAGCAGCAUAAGCCAGGCUCUAUGGAAUGUUGGGUGAGCUGCUUGAGGAACUCCAAGGCCUGUCCCACAGUCUUCCAGCCUCCGACUCUCCGGCCCUCAGCGAGGUCAGCAGUGAGCUACUUUUGGAUCUGUUGAAGUCCCACUGGUUUUUUUGGUUGGUUUUUUUUUUUUUUUUUAAGGUUUUUUGGUUUUUUUUUUUUUUUCUCAUUCCUGUCUUGGGAGCUUUCCCCAACCAGCAGACUGAUCGAACACACAGGCUUCUCAGCCCACUCCCUCCAGUCAAGGUUAAGGCCUGGCAAAGGUGGAGGAAGAGAAGCUGAGGAGAAAAAGGCGAGGAGAGCCUAGGCACAGGAAGGUGACCGUGAGUAGAGUUGGGUGGUCCAGGGAUGUGGCUGGGAUCCCCUCUUCCUUCUGGAGUUCUCUUAGACAGUAAGGCUGAAGAGAAGCUUGGUACAGGAACUUCGAAGGUUUCUCAAGCUGCAGGUCAUGGCUACCGCUUCCCUCCCUCCCAGUGCUGAUUUCCUGUGGACCAGAUUCCAGCACAGUGGAGGGCCAGAGCUCAGGGAACAGACCCAGCAGCACAGCAAGUCUCCAAGGAAAGCUCUGAAC
rnacentral:lncRNA from 1 species